GCAUAUCAAUAAGCGGAGGAAAAGGUGGAGAAGAAAGGAGAAGAGGAGAAAGAGACAGAAAGAGAGACUGUGAAUAUUACACCGUCUUGAAACACGGACC
rnacentral:rRNA from 1 species